rnacentral:rRNA from 1 species
CCUACGGGGGGCUGCAGUAAGGAAUAUUGGACAAUGGCCGAAAGGCUGAUCCAGCCAUCCAGCGUGCAGGAAGAAGGCCCUAUGGGUUGUAAACUGCUUUUAUCAGGGAAGAAACCUGUGGAUUUACUCCGCAGCUGACGGUACCUGAAGAAUAAGCACCGGCUAACUCCGUGCCAGCAGCCGCGGUAAUACGGAGGGUGCGAGCGUUAUCCGGAAUUACUGGGUUUAAAGGGUGCGUAGGCGGCUAUGUAAGUCAGGAGUGAAAGUUUGCGGCUCAACCGUAAAAUUGCUUUUGAUACUGCAUAGCUGGAAUUAGGAUGAGGUCAGCGGAAUGUGGCAUGUAGCGGUGAAAUGCAUAGAUAUGCCAUAGAACACCAAUUGCGAAGGCAGCUGACUAGACCUGGAUUGACGCUGAGGCACGAAAGCGUGGGGAGCGAACAGGCUUAGAUACCCUUGUAGUC